rnacentral:rRNA from 1 species
ACCUGCGGCGGCCUAUACAUGCAAGUCGGACGGUAGACGAUCUUUCGGGAUUGUUGAGAGUGGCGCACGGGUGCGUAACGCGUAUGCAACCUACCUUUUACUGGGGGAUAGCCCGGGGAAACCCGGAUUAAUACCCUAUGGCAUUAUGAGCGGGCAUCUGUUUAUAAUUAAAGAUUUAUCGGUAGAAGAUGGGCAUGCGUAGGAUUAGCUAGUUGGCGGGGUAACGGCCCACCAAGGCGAUGAUCCUUAGGGGUUCUGAGAGGAAGGUCCCCCACACUGGCACUGAGAUACGGGCCAGACUCCUACGGGAGGCAGCAGUAGGGAAUAUUGGGCAAUGGUCGCAAGACUGACCCAGCCAUGCCGCGUGCAGGAAGAAGGCGUUACGCGUUGUAAACUGCUUUUAUCUGGGAAGAAAAAGUUCCUGCGGGAAAAAUUGCCGGUACCAGAUGAGUAAGCACCGGCUAACUCCGUGCCAGCAGCCGCGGUAAUACGGAGGGUGCAAGCGUUGUCCGGAUUUAUUGGGUUUAAAGGGUGCGCAGGCGGCCAUAUAAGUCAGCGGUGAAAUACUCCGGCUCAACCGGAGGGGUGCCGUUGAUACUGUUUGGCUUGAGUGCGGUCAACGUACAUGGAAUUUAUGGUGUAGCGGUGAAAUGCAUAGAUACCAUAAGGAACACCGAUAGCGAAGGCAUUGUACGGGGCCGUAACUGACGCUGAGGCACGAAAGCGUGGGUAGCGAACAGGAUUAGAUACCCUGGUAGUCCACGCCGUAAACGAUGAUCACUCG